AUGCACGCGCAGAGGACGCGGGCGACUGCGGGGGCGACUGGUGUGGCGACCGCGGGUGCGCCGCUCCAAUCCUCCGGCGAUCGAAGGCGAGUCGGGGGCCGGUUCUGGGCCUUAGCCGAAGCCGACGAGGACGAUGCAGACGGGGAGGCGGACGCGACCUCGGCGGCAUCUCCGCCGUCGCCGACGCCGUCGAACCUUAUAUGCGAGUUUUCCAACUCCGGCUACGACGAAGAGGAAGUGGCGACGACGGUUGACAAGGUCUUGCCCCCUGAUGAUCCGGCCAGGAUAGGAUCACGCGGGAGAGAAGAAGGAGAUGAUUCGUCGUGUGGUUCAUCGGAGAACGGCGGCGACGGCGAUCAGGCCAUGGAAGGGCCCCCUCCCUAA
rnacentral:rRNA from 1 species